CCCGUCACUACUCAAAAGUCUCCAAGAAAUGCUCCACUUCCUCUCCUCCUCCCCUCUCUGUCCCCGAUUCCUCCUCCUCCCCAAUCCACCCGCCACUCUCCGCGCCCUCGCCAUGAGCGCCGCCGCCUCAAGCUCCUCGUUCCGUCAGGUUCGCUGCGCGGCGGCGCCGGUGCCUUCCCUCGGCGCCGACGAGGCCGGCACGGCGGCCGACGAGGCCUUCCAGAGGCACACGUCGCCGAGCUUGAGGAGAGGCGGCGCCGGGGUGGCCAUCGUGUGGUUCAGAAACGACCUCCGGGUUCUUGACAAUGAGGCGCUGGUGUGCGCGUGGGCGGCCUCCGAGGCGGUCCUGCCGGUGUACUGCGUUGAUCCCCGGGUCUCUGCGGGGAGCACGCAUUACUUCGGGUUCCCCAAGACUGGAGAAUUGAGGGCACAGUUCUUGAUAGAGUGUUUGGGGGACCUGAAGCAGAACCUGAGGAAGAAAGGUCUUGACUUGCUCGUCCGGCACGGCAAACCUGAAGAGAUCCUUCCUUCAAUUGCAAAGGCUGUCAGUGCACACACAGUUUAUGCUCACAAGGAAACCUGCAGCGAGGAGCUCCUCGUUGAACGCCUCGUGCGGAAAGGCUUGGAGCAAGUUGUGAUUACUCAAGGAGGAACAUCCGAUCAGAAGAAACAUCUGACUCCAAAGUUGCAGCUCAUCUGGGGAACAACAAUGUACCAUAUCGAUGACCUCCCUUUCCCAGUGAGCAACUUGCCAGACGUGUACACGCAGUUCAGAAAGGCAGUUGAAUCGAAGUCAUCGGUUAGGAACUGCAGCAAGCUGCCGCCGUCGCUCGGGCCGCCACCUUGUUCCGGCCUAGAUGAGGCUGGCGGGUGGGGAACAAUACGAACACUGGAGUCACUAGGCCAGACUGUUACAAAGUCUGAGAAGGGAAUGCAUUUCAUAGGAGGAGAGAGUGCAGCUCUUGGAAGAGUCCAUGAAUACUUCUGGAAGAAGGAUCAGUUGAAAAUCUACAAAGAGACCAGGAAUGGCAUGUUAGGUCCAGACUACUCCACAAAAUUGUCUCCUUGGCUUGCUUCUGGCAGUCUUUCACCACGUUAUAUUUGUGAAGAGGUGAAGAGAUAUGAAAAGCAAAGAGUAGCAAAUGAUUCUACAUACUGGGUUUUAUUUGAGCUGAUAUGGAGAGACUACUUCAGAUUUCUAUCAGCAAAAUAUGGGAACUCCAUUUUUCACCUAGGAGGUCCAAGGAAAGUAGUAUCCAAGUGGAGUCGGGACCAAGUACUGUUUGAAUCUUGGAGAGAUGGUCGGACUGGGUACCCUCUUAUUGAUGCCAACAUGAGGGAGCUUUCAGCCACUGGUUUCAUGUCCAACCGUGGCCGUCAGAUUGUCUGCUCAUUUCUUGUCCGAGAUAUGGGUAUCGACUGGCGAAUGGGAGCAGAAUGGUUCGAAACAUGCUUAUUGGAUUAUGACCCGGCCUCGAAUUAUGGUAACUGGACAUACGGAGCAGGAGUUGGCAAUGACCCACGAGAAGAUCGAUACUUCAGUAUCCCUAAGCAAGCCAAGACAUAUGAUCCUGACGGGGAGUACGUUGCGUACUGGUUACCGGAACUCCAAUCAAUUGCGAAGGAAAGAAGAAACUUCCCAGGGGCCUCAUACAUCAGGCAGAUCGUCCCACUGAAGUUUGAUGGUGGUCAUCAAAAGAAAGAUCAGCAGUUCAACCGGCAGAGAAGACCAAACAUGUACAAAAGAUAAAUUAGAAAGGAACAAUCUAUAAGUAGGAGAUGAAGCAAAUGUUAGAUAGCUGACUGGAGAGCAAAUCAGGGUUGGAGAGAGCAUAAAAUGGUCUUGCAACCACUGAGAAACAAAAUGCCAAAACAUCCAGCACAUUCAGCAUAGAGACCAAAAGGCAGACAGUUUCAUUCAGGUUACCCCAUUUAUAAACAAGGUUUGACAACAUUUAUUCACCAAAACUAGCUUUGCUAACUACAAAAGUGAACAAAAAGGUAUUUACAACACUGCCAAUGACCUAUCGCAAAAGACUCGGAA